AUACGUAGGGAGCGAGCGUUGUCCGGAAUUACUGGGUGUAAAGAGAGCGUAGGCGGGAGUGCAAGUCAGAUGUGAAAUACAUGGGCUCAACCCAUGGGCUGCAUUUGAAACUGCAUUUCUUGAGUGAAGUAGAGGUAAGCGGAAUUCCUGGUGUAGCGGUGAAAUGCGUAGAUAUCAGGAGGAACACCGGUGGCGAAGGCGGCUUACUGGGCUUUUACUGACGCUGAGGCUCGAAAGCGUGGGGAGCAAACAGGAUUAGAUACCCUGGUAGUCCACGCUGUAAACGAUGAUUACUAGGUGUGGGGGGACUGACCCCUUCCGUGCCGCAGUUAACACAAUAAGUAAUCCACCUGGGGAGUACGGCCGCAAGGUUGAAACUCAAAUGAAUGGACGGGG
rnacentral:rRNA from 1 species